GCGCUAUCAGAUGAGCCUAGGUCGGAUUAGCUAGUUGGUGAGGUAAUGGCUCACCAAGGCUGCGAUCCGUAACUGGUCUGAGAGGAUGAUCAGUCACACUGGAACUGAGACACGGUCCAG
rnacentral:rRNA from 1 species